UUAUCUGAACCUUCGGGGAACGAUAACGGCGUCGAGCGGCGGACGGGUGAGUAAUGCCUAGGAAAUUGCCCUGAUGUGGGGGAUAACCAUUGGAAACGAUGGCUAAUACCGCAUGAUGCCUACGGGCCAAAGAGGGGGACCUUCGGGCCUCUCGCGUCAGGAUAUGCCUAGGUGGGAUUAGCUAGUUGGUGAGGUAAGGGCUCACCAAGGCGACGAUCCCUAGCUGGUCUGAGAGGAUGAUCAGCCACACUGGAACUGAGACACGGUCCAGACUCCUACGGGAGGCAGCAGUGGGGAAUAUUGCACAAUGGGCGCAAGCCUGAUGCAGCCAUGCCGCGUGUGUGAAGAAGGCCUUCGGGUUGUAAAGCACUUUCAGUCGUGAGGAAGGUGGUGUAGUUAAUAGCUGCAUUAUUUGACGUUAGCGACAGAAGAAGCACCGGCUAACUCCGUGCCAGCAGCCGCGGUAAUACGGAGGGUGCGAGCGUUAAUCGGAAUUACUGGGCGUAAAGCGCAUGCAGGUGGUUUGUUAAGUCAGAUGUGAAAGCCCGGGGCUCAACCUCGGAAUAGCAUUUGAAACUGGCAGACUAGAGUACUGUAGAGGGGGGUAGAAUUUCAGGUGUAGCGGUGAAAUGCGUAGAGA
rnacentral:rRNA from 1 species